CAGAGUGACUUGGACAAAGAAAGCAAGAACAGAGAGCCCUGGGUAAAGGAAGCCCACCUGCAAAGACCAAGAUGCAAAGAGCUUGCAUAUGUUGUUUCCUACUGUGUGUCAGGCCCCAUGUGAAGUACUGGGGUGCGGAACUGAAUAAGAUACAGGCCAGCCGCCAGGAAGCCUGCAAUCUGGGUGAAGGGGACUACCAAGGACAUGAGCCCACCCCAGGAAUGGUUCUUGGCACCUCCUCCAAGAAGCUCCCACUGCUGAUCUCGCUGCCCAGUUACUCUGAGAUCAUCCAGAAUCCCCUUGUCCAACCACACAAGCAUUCUUCCCCUGGCACAUCUUCAAACACCUUUUGUUAGCAAAGUCCAGCAUUAACACUUACGUUCUCAGGCCGUACCUGGAAGAGCGGUGCCCUCCGGCUCCUGUGAGAAGGCUCUGCAUGUGGACAGCACUUGAUGCACUCUAUGGAAUUCACUGGAAACUUUCUGCCAGUCUCUCCUAGGUGUCUGAGGGGAUGCACAGAGGAGGGUCUUCAUGGAGGAGCCCUCAGAAUGAAGAGACUCACUCUGGGGCUGCUUGCAGGCAGAUUUGAGUAUGGACACAAGUUCUGUUAUCUAAGUAGCUUCAUGACCCUGGACACGUUACCUGAAUGUGGCCUUGACCUCAAGCUAGACCAAGGUUCUUAAACUCUUUUGUACCACUGACCUAGCUGAUCGUCUGAGGAAGCUUAUGGAGAUCAUCUCAGAUUGUUUGUGUUUUAAAUGUAAAAAAUAAAAACUACACCAUUUCAAAGGAACACAAUUAUUCUCCAGUACAAUUAUUAAAAUGUGCAGUGUAAAAUGAUUUUUAAUUAAUACAUAAAAAAUAAUGAUACUUGUUAGUGGGUAAAGUACUACUGUAAUUUGAAGUAUCUAUGAGUGUGAAAU